rnacentral:rRNA from 1 species
UACGUAGGGGGCAAGCGUUGUCCGGAUUUAUUGGGCGUAAAGAGCUCGUAGGCGGUCUGUCGCGUCUGCUGUGAAAACUCAGGGCUUAACCCUGAGCUUGCAGUGGGUACGGGCAGACUAGAGUGCGGUAGGGGAGACUGGAAUUCCUGGUGUAGCGGUGAAAUGCGCAGAUAUCAGGAGGAACACCUGCGGCGAAGGCGGGUUGCUGGGCUGACACUGACGCUGAGGCGCGAAAGCCAGGGGAGCGAACGGG